AUUGAACGCUGGCGGCAGGCUUAACACAUGCAAGUCGAACGGUAACAGGAAGAAAGCUUGCUUUCUUUGCUGACGAGUGGCGGACGGGUGAGUAAUGCUUGGGAAUCUGUUUCAUGGAGGGGGAUAACUACGGGAAACUGUAGCUAAUACCGCGUAAUAUCGAGAGAUUAAAUGUGUGGGACCGYAAGGCCACAUGCCAUGAAGUGAGCCCAAGUGGGAUUAGAUAGUUGGUGAGGUAAUGGCUCACCAAGUCGGCGAUCUCUAGCUGGUCUGAGAGGAUGACCAGCCACACUGGGACUGAGACACGGCCCAGACUCCUACGGGAGGCAGCAGUGGGGAAUAUUGCACAAUGGGCGCAAGCCUGAUGCAGCCAUGCCGCGUGAAUGAAGAAGGCCUUCGGGUUGUAAAGUUCUUUCGGUGGUGAGGAAGGUUGGCGUGUUAAUAGCACGUUGACUUGACGUUAGCCACAGAAGAAGCACCGGCUAACUCCGUGCCAGCAGCCGCGGUAAUACGGAGGGUGCGAGCGUUAAUCGGAAUAACUGGGCGUAAAGGGCACGCAGGCGGUGACUUAAGUGAGGUGUGAAAGCCCUGGGCUUAACCUAGGAAUUGCAUUUCAUACUGGGUCGCUAGAGUAUUUUAGGGAGGGGUAGAAUUCCACGUGUAGCGGUGAAAUGCGUAGAGAUGUGGAGGAAUACCGAAGGCGAAGGCAG
rnacentral:rRNA from 1 species